rnacentral:misc_RNA from 1 species
AGUGCUGAAACUUCAGAUAAUACAAAUUACAGUGUUAUUGCAUUAACCAAAUAAAAAAUAUGCACGUAAAAAAAAAGGUAUUAUUUACAAAAUACUUCAGCUUUAUCUUGUCUCGUAAUGAUAACUUUUCCUUCUUGUGAUAAUAUUUCCAAUGCAAUGCAAGAACGACACUUAACCAACUGUAAUAUUAAACAAGCAACGGACUAUACUGGUUAAUAGACAUAAUGGAAACUGCAGCAGCUUCAAUUUUAAAACGAGCAGUGGAGAAAGACAAAGAGGAACAAUAUACUAUGUCUCUUAUAUUAUAUCAAGAAGGUGUACAAAUACUCCUAGAUACUAUAAAAGAAACAAAGGACCCAGUUAAGAACAAACAUUUUACUCUUAUGGCAUCGCAAUACCUGGAUAGAGCGGAGAAGGUAAAGCAAUUAGUCGACAAGAAGAAAAUACAAGGUACAUACAGGGAAUUAAUAAAGAUUAAGGAUGGUGCAACCGGUUAUGGAUAUAAUAGUCUUUUUGGUAGAUUUUUGGAUGCUAUGGUUACAUUCAUUCAGAUAGAAGAUCCAUAUAUAAGAACCUUUCAUCAGUGUCAAAAUCUAGUAAGAAUGUGUGAGUUGGCAGUUCAAAAAUGUCAUUCUCUAUCAAAAAUAUCUCUCAUUACUACAUCUGAUCCAGAUGAUUCUAAAAAUCAAUCUAAAAGGCUUGAAGAAACGAAGCAGAGCCUGAAAUCACAUCUUGUAUCAUUUGAAAUUACGUAUUCUGAUACAUUACAUGAUAGACAAAUUAUACUUAGCAAUGGAUGGAUAAUAAAGAUAGGACGUGGUUUAGAUUAUUUUAAAGCACCUGCUGGAAAGUUUGCUUUGGGUUCUUGUGAUCUUGAAUUAAGAUCAUGUCACGAAACUACAGUAGAUAUUUUUCAUAGUAGUCAAUUGAAUGAAAAGUAAUUAUGAAGUAAGGUUGAUAAAUUAUCUCCUUUAUGAGAUAGAAGAUAGAAGAGAAGAAUAUUGAUAAAAAUAAUAUAAAGAUAAAUAUUACUAUAUUAUUUCAUAACGUCUUAUUUAUCAUUGGAUUGCAUCGAAUACUUAUGUAUAUGCGUGCGUGCAUGCGCUCGUGCGUGAAUGACUCAUCCAUGGGGCCAAAAGGGGGACGAAACAUGCAUCACCAUGGGCAUUUUAACACAGAUGCCCCGUACGGCGCGUGCCCUCGAACCAAUCCGACGCCCCUAUGCGUUGCUUCCGCAACGGCAACCACGUCUGCACGAGUCAUUUUCUCUACGACCCCCUCUGGUUUUUGAAGGGGGACAGAAAACGAGAAGAGUCACACCUGGCCUUUAAAAGUUUUCUCUCCAUUGGCGUGAUUUUGUAACGCUAAGCUAGACUUUAUCAUUUACAUGCUGUGUGUGUAUAUAAAUACGUAUGUUUGUUACUGAUAAUAAGAAGAAGGAUAAUUUGUACAUCUUAAAAAUUCAUCUCAGGCAAUUGGAAAUUUUGCAUCUUUUCUCUGUUUUAUUCAAAUAUAGAAAUAAAUAUAAAUAAAAUGUUUGAA